CCUUGGAGAGUUUGCACAACCCGUCCCAGCCCCUCCUUUCUUCUCCACUCCAGGCUGUUUUGUUAAAUGGCUCCCGGAUGCCUGGUUGGGGCUGGGCUCUGAAGGGAAGGGAAACGGGAAUCUCAUUUCCUCUUCUGGAAAAUGGGUCUGUAGGAUGGAGUAGCCACCGUUCCCGGGUAGAAUUUCAUGUAGCAUAAUGCAGACUUCAGCCAUGUAUAGCAAGAACAUAAGGUUUGAGGUGCAGGAGACACAUCUGUAAAUAAACUAUGGUCCCUGACUGCAUGGGCUUUGUCAUGCUUAUAGAAAAGCAGUCAUUCUGCAAAAAUUGAGAAGGUUUCCUGGAUGGGACAGUUCAUGAUGGCAGCAAUGGUUCAAAUACUCAUGUGGUCAUGUGAAAGAAGAGUGAGAGGUCGCCAACAAUUAACUGCUUGAAAACAGCUAGUCAAGAGGAUUUAAAAUUUUCCAACACAAAUAAAUGAAUUGUGUCUGAGGCUAUACAUAAAUUAAUCACCCUAAGCUGAUUAUUUUUAAAGUGUAUAUGUAUUAAACACAUCAUACUGGCGGGUGCUGGUGGCUCACACCCGUAAUCCUAGCUACUCAGGAGGCUGAGAUCUGAAGAUUGCAGUUCAAAGUCAACUCGAGAGGGGAAGUCCGUGAGACUCUUAUCUCCAGUUAACCACCAGAAAACUGGAAGUGGAGCUGGGGGUCAAAGUGGUACAGUACUUUGAGCAAAUGAGCUCAGGGACAGUGCCCAGGCCCUGAAUUCAGGCCCCAUGAAUGACAAAAAAAAGUCAUAGUGUACCCCAUAAGUAAGUAUAGUUACUACAUGUCAAAUAAGAAUUAAAAAAAUAUAUUUAA